rnacentral:rRNA from 1 species
GUCGGCUCAUCGCAUCCUGGGGCUGUAGUCGGUCCCAAGGGUUGGGCUGUUCGCCCAUUAAAGCGGUACGCGAGCUGGGUUCAGAACGUCGUGAGACAGUUCGGUCCCUAUCCGUCGUGGGCGUAGGAAAUUUGAGAGGAGCUGUCCUUAGUACGAGAGGACCGGGAUGGACGCACCGCUGGUGUACCAGUUGUUCUGCCAAGGGCAUAGCUGGGUAGCUAUGUGCGGAAGGGAUAAGUGCUGAAAGCAUCUAAGCAUGAAGCCCCCCUCAAGAUGAGAUUUCCCAUAGCGUAAGCUAGUAAGAUCCCUGAAAGAUGAUCAGGUUGAUAGGUUCGAGGUGGAAGCAUGGUGACAUGUGGAGCUGACGAAUACUAAUAGAUCGAGGACUUAACCAUAUAA